GGCCAUCUUCUAGAUGCCAUCAGGUAGGUGCGCUAGCGUAGUCGUUUGUUGUAGCAUUAUAUCCCUUUUCCUCCUUUUUAAAAAAUGUUUGUAAGACGCCUGAAAUUUGUAUAAGUUAGUUAUAUAAGUAGUUGAAUAAGAGUUGGUGAGACUUGGAAAAUAGAAGAGGCCAGAGAAGAUGGAAGAGGAUUGCUUUGAAAUAGAAGGAAAGGAGAUAGAAGAUGUUUGAGGAAAGAAGAAGGAUUUUGUUGGCUGCAACGGAAGUUUUUUGAAGGAAAUUUGGAGCAACUGUAUUAAGAUGUUAUUGGUAUCUUGGACAUCAAGUUUUAUUUAUUUAUGUAUUAUACAAGCAUAUCUAUUGGUGUAAAUGUAGAAUGGCAGCUGUUAUAACAACUUGGAUGAAUUAUUAGAAACAUCAAAGAAGUUUUGACAUAAUUUAAACUGGGAAAAGGCUCACAAAUGGCCAAUUUAUUCUACAGUAGAUACAGGACAUUAAAUUGACUUCAACAACGCAGAUAUCUC